rnacentral:rRNA from 1 species
AUUGAACGCUGGCGGCAGGCCUAACACAUGCAAGUCGAACGAGUGGCGGACGGGUGAGUAAUGUCUGGGAAACUGCCUGAUGGAGGGGGAUAACUACUGGAAACGGUAGCUACUACCGCAUACCAUCAGAUGUGCCCAGAUGGGAUUAGCUUGUUGGUGGGGUAACGGCUAACCAAGGCGACGAUCCCUAGCUGGUCUGAGAGGAUGACCAGCCAACCGGGGACGGAGACACGGACCAGACUCCUCCGGGAGGCAGCAGUGGGGAAUAUUGCACAAUGGGCGCAAGCCUGAUGCAGCCAUGCCGCGUGUAUGAAGAAGGCCUUCGGGUUGUAAAGUACUUUAAGCGGGGAGGCGUUACCCGCAGAAGAAGCACCGGCUAACUCCGUGCCAGCAGCCGCGGUAAUAC